rnacentral:rRNA from 1 species
UUGAGCUUGAUCCUGGCUCAGAUUGAACGCUGGCGGCAGGCCUAACACAUGCAAGUCGAGCGGCAGCACGAGAAAGCUUGCUUUCUUGGUGGCGAGCGGCGGACGGGUGAGUAAUACAUGGGAAUCUGCCCGAUAGUGGGGGACAACGUUUCGAAAGGAACGCUAAUACCGCAUACGUCCUACGGGAGAAAGCAGGCUUAGGCUUGCGCUAUCGGAUGAGCCCAUGUCGGAUUAGCUUGUUGGUGAGGUAAUGGCUCACCAAGGCGACGAUCCGUAACUGGUCUGAGAGGAUGAUCAGUCACACCGGAACUGAGACACGGUCCGGACUCCUACGGGAGGCAGCAGUGGGGAAUAUUGGACAAUGGGGGCAACCCUGAUCCAGCCAUGCCGCGUGUGUGAAGAAGGCCUUCGGGUUGUAAAGCACUUUCAGCGAGGAGGAAAGCAGUAAGGUUAAUACCCUUAUUGUGUGACGUACUCGCAGAGAAGACCG